rnacentral:rRNA from 1 species
UACGGAGGGUGCAAGCGUUGUCCGGAUUUACUGGGCGUAAAGGGCGCGUAGGCGGCGCAACAAGUCACUUGUGAAAUCUCCGGGCUUAACCCGGAGCGGCCAAGUGAUACUGUCGUGCUAGGGUGCGGAAGGGGCUACUGGAAUUCUCGGUGUAGCGGUGAAAUGCGUAGAUAUCGAGAGGAACACCUGCGGCGAAGGCGGGUAGCUGGGCCGACACUGACGCUGAGGCGCGAAAGCCAGGGGAGCGAACGGG